rnacentral:rRNA from 1 species
CACGUAGGCGGCUUCGCAAGUCGGAUGUGAAAUCCCUCGGCUCAACCGAGGACGUGCAUCCGAAACUGCGGAGCUUGAGUACUGAAGAGGAUCGCGGAAUUCCCGGUGUAGAGGUGAAAUUCGUAGAUAUCGGGAGGAACACCAGUGGCGAAGGCGGCGAUCUGGGCAGUUACUGACGCUGAGGUGCGAAAGCGUGGGGAGCAAACA